rnacentral:tRNA from 1 species
GGAGAGUUGUCCGAGCGGCCGAAGGAGCACGACUGGAAAUCGUGUAGGCGUGAUAAGCGCCUCGUGGGUUCAAAUCCCACACUCUCCGCCA